AAGGCCCCAGACUCAUACAAGAGGUAGUAGUGAGAAAUUUUUUGCAAUGAGCGAAAACUUGAUAUAGCAAUGCCACAUUAAGGUAGAAGGCUCACGGAUCGUGAACUUUUUUUCCUAGAGAAGAAGCAAUGACAAUAUCUAGGAAAAUAGAAUCUAUUC
rnacentral:rRNA from 1 species